rnacentral:rRNA from 1 species
ACGCUCGACACCUACGUGAGGCAGCAGUGGGGAAUAUUGCACAAUGGGGGAAACCCUGAUGCAGCGACGCCGCGUGAGCGAAGAAGUAUUUCGGUAUGUAAAGCUCUAUCAGCAGGAAAGAAGAAAGACGGUACCUGACUAAGAAGCCCCGGCUAACUACGCGCCAGCAGCCGCGGUAAUCUGAGCGGGCUGGCAAGGC